GCUGAAGUUGUGAAGGUUGAUGCUGUGAAUGCGCUCGGUCAUCCCCUUGCAACUGAUGUCACCUGCAGCAUGUCAACGCAGACACAAAACAGGGCAUGGGUCAGAUCUAGCUGGUUGCAUUCCUAACACCUAGGUUUCAGAGUAAAAAUACAGAGUCAGCUUGUGAUGGCAUUCCCUCAAAACAUGGAAGGAAUUGCAGUAAUGAAAGUCAUCAUGUAUUCUAAGAGACUGUUCUGCGAGAGCACAACACAGACGGGGCUAAAGCAGGGACAACUCUCAUGCCAUCAAGCCGACGGACUUUCAAAAAAAUAAAAGAUGCAUUUCUUUACUUCUACGGUGAAAGGGCACCUAAGGUGAAUGGACAGAUUGUAGAUGGGUGCACACAGGAAAAUGUACAGCUCCUACAAUGUAUUCUGAGGGCCCAUGAGAAGUAAAAGCAGGCACUGGCAUUCUGCACAGAUGAAAUACUUCCUACGACAGGAAUACAUGCUCACUUGUGGACUUCUCUGUAAUCUGUAGGCAACAUCAGCUCCUGAUUUCUAGGUCUGGAUCUGGGUUCUCUGUAGCACAGGAAGCAUAGUUACUCUGUGAUGAAGAAAAACUCAGAAAACUAUCCAGAUGUGGGAAUUUCUCGGGUAUUCCUUGCACUUGAACUUAAGGAUGAAUGAAGGUAUAUACAAGUCUCUACUUCUCCUACAUAAAUGCCUUGCAUGGCGGGAACUAAAUCAACUACACAGACCCAUACAUCCAGAGAGCAGAGGUGAGCUGGAUACAAGUGGCUUAGAGAUGUGGUGGAAGGAGGCCAGAGCUCCAAGGGAAGGGCAGCAAGGAGACAACAGCAUGGGUUGCAGCUCAGACAACAGGUAAAUAAAACCAAGCAAAGCUGCUGGUCACAGAUUUGACCAGGGUGGCAAGAAAUGACAAGCUACCAUGAGAUUCAACAGUGGCACGGAAGGAUGAUGAGAAGCAAACAGAUUAGGAGAAGCUGCCACCACCGUACAUAGAGGCACAGAUGACCAAGCAGAACAGCACCAGUCCCUGCAAGGUGUGCUCAGAUACAGCUCAGCACAGCCAUCUGGCCAGGAGGGAAUGAUAAUGCACAUGGUGUGCACUGCAGCCGGGAAGUUGAGAACCGCUGUGGGCACCUCAGGACUGAGUCUGGUUACCCUGCUGAUCCAAGAAAUGAAGCCAUCUAAAAUUUUGCCUGCUUUCACAA
ensembl:lncRNA ZBTB20-AS1 ZBTB20 antisense RNA 1